CCUACGGGUGGCAGCAGUGAGGAAUAUUGGUCAAUGGCCGGAAGGCUGAACCAGCCAUGCCGCGUGAAGGUCAGUGCCCUAUGGGCGUUAAACUUCUUUUGUGCGGGAGCAAUAAUGGUCACGUGUGGCCAGACGAGAGUACCGUACGAAUAAGCAUCGGCUAACUCCGUGCCAGGUGCCGCGGUAAUACGGGGGAUGCAAGCGUUAUCCGGAUUUUUUGGGGCUAAAGGGUGCGUAGGGGGUAAGGUCAGUCAGCGGUGGAAUGACCCCGCUCAACGGGGUGAAGUGCCAUUGAUACUGGCUUGCUGGAAUGCGGAUGCCGUGGGAGGAAUGUGUGGUGUAGCGGUGAAAUGCAUAGAUAUCGAGAGGAACACUCGUGGCGAAGGCGGGUUCCUGGACAUUAACUGACGCUGAGGCACGUAGGCCAGGGGAGCGAAAGGGAUUAGAUACCCCUGUAGUC
rnacentral:rRNA from 1 species